rnacentral:rRNA from 1 species
ACCCGCUGAACUUAAGCAUAUCAAUAAGCGGAGGAAAAGAAACCAACAGGGAUUGCCUUAGUAGCGGCGAGUGAAGCGGCAAAAGCUCAAAUUUGAAAUCUGGCGGCCUCGCUGUCCGAGUUGUAAUUUGAAGAAGGUAUCUUUGGGUCUGGCGCUUGUCUAUGUUCCUUGGAACAGGACGUCACAGAGGGUGAGAAUCCCGUGCGAUGAGCAGUCCAGAUCCGUGUAAAGUUCCUUCGAAGAGUCGAGUUGUUUGGGAAUGCAGCUCUAAGUGGGUGGUAAAUUCCAUCUAAAGCUAAAUAUUGGCGAGAGACCGAUAGCGAACAAGUACAGUGAUGGAAAGAUGAAAAGAACUUUGAAAAGAAAAGGAAAAAGUACGUGAAAUUGUUGAAAGGGAAGGGCUUGCGAUCAGACUUGGUAUUUUGUAUGUCUUGCUUUCGGGCGGGGCCUCUGCAGUUUACUGGGCCA